ACUUGACUGGCUCAGUCAGAAGAGCAUGUGAUUCUUGAUCUUGGGGUUGUGGGUUCAAGCCCCACAUUGAAUA
rnacentral:tRNA from 1 species